rnacentral:rRNA from 1 species
GAUGAACGCUGGCGGUCUGCUUAACACAUGCAAGUCGAGCGGACUCUUCGGAGUUAGUGGCGGACGGGUGAGUAACGCGUGAGAAUCUGCCUUCAGGUCGGGGACAACAGAGGGAAACUUCUGCUAAUCCCGGAUGAGCCGCAAGGUAAAAGAGAAAUUGCCUGAAGAUGAGCUCGCGCCCGAUUAGCUAGUUGGUAAGGUAAAAGCUUACCAAGGCGACGAUCAGUAGCUGGUCUGAGAGGAUGAGCAGCCACACUGGGACUGAGACACGGCCCAGACUCCUACGGGAGGCAGCAGUGGGGAAUUUUCCGCAAUGGGCGCAAGCCUGACGGAGCAAGACCGCGUGGGGGAGGAAGGCUCUAGGGUUGUAAACCCCUUUUCUUUGGGAAGAAGUUCUGACGGUACCAAAGGAAUCAGCCUCGGCUAACUCCGUGCCAGCAGCCGCGGUAAUACGGAGGAGGCAAGCGUUAUCCGGAAUGAUUGGGCGUAAAGCGUCCGCAGGUGGCCAUGUAAGUCUGCUGUCAAAACCCAGGGCUUAACUCUGGUCAGGCAGUGGAAACUACAGAGCUAGAGUCUGGUAGGGGCCAAGGGAAUUCCCGGUGUAGCGGUGAAAUGCGUAGAGAUCGGGAAGAACAUCGGUGGCGAAAGCGCUUGGCUAGACCAGAACUGACACUCAGGGACGAAAGCUAGGGGAGCGAAUGGGAUUAGAUACCCCAGUAGUCCUAGCUGUAAACGAUGGAUACUAGGUGUUGCCUGUAUCGACCCGGGCAGUGCCGUAGCUAACGCGUUAAGUAUCCCGCCCGGGGAGUACGCACGCAAGUGUGAAACUCAAAGGAAUUGACGGGGGCCCGCACAAGCGGUGGAGUAUGUGGUUUAAUUCGAUGCAACGCGAAGAACCUUACCAGGGCUUGACAUGUCGCGAAUCUAGGGGAAACCUUGGAGUGCCUUCGGGAGCGCGAACACAGGUGGUGCAUGGCUGUCGUCAGCUCGUGUCGUGAGAAUGUUGGGUUAAGUCCCGCAACGAGCGCAACCCUCGUCUUUAGUUGCCAGCAUUAAGUUGGGCACUCUGAAGAGACUGCCGGUGACAAACCGGAGGAAGGUGGGGAUGACGUCAAGUCAGCAUGCCCCUUACGUCCUGGGCUACACACGUACUACAAUGGUCUGGACAGAGGGUAGCCAACCCGCGAGGGUGAGCCAAUCCCAAAAACCAGGCCUCAGUUCAGAUUGCAGGCUGCAACUCGCCUGCAUGAAGUCGGAAUCGCUAGUAAUCGCAGGUCAGCAUACUGCGGUGAAUCCGUUCCCGGGCCUUGUACACACCGCCCGUCACACCAUGGAAGUUGGCCAUGCCCGAAGUCAUUACUCCAACCCGUGAGGGAGGAGGAUGCCGAAGGCAGGGCUGAUGACUGGGGUGAAGUCGUAACAAGGUAGCCGUACCGGAAGGUGUGGCUGGAUCACCUCCUUUUUAGGGAGACCAACUGGCACAGCACAGCCAAAAAUGAUUAUGUGUUGUAGCUGGACAUCCCUGGUCGUUCAAGGGCAGAGUCAAAGUCCGAGUUAACUUUCAAACUAGAUGUCAGGUUCGGUUCAUGGGCUAUUAGCUCAGGUGGUUAGAGCGCACCCCUGAUAAGGGUGAGGUCCCUGGUUCGAAUCCAGGAUGGCCCACCUAACCAAAGCAGGGGGGUAUAGCUCAGUUGGUAGAGCGCUGCCUUUGCAAGGCAGAAGUCGGCGGUUCGAGUCCGCUUACCUCCACUCAGGAGGAAAAUAGAGAACUCAGCAACUAGACCUGAAUCAAGCAAGUCAGGCUGCUGGGCUGCUUAAGUCCAGUCAGAACCUUGAAAACUGCAUAGUCAAUCAGUCAAAGCAACUAAACAAGUGGUUAGUUAAUCCCUAACUACUUGGUCAGGUGCAGCAAGUGGUCAAGUGAUCAAGGGCUGACGGUGAAU